GACGAACGCUGGCGGCGUGCUUAACACAUGCAAGUCGAACGGAAAGGUCCUGCUUUUGUGGGGUGCUCGAGUGGCGAACGGGUGAGUAACACGUGAGUAACCUGCCCUUGACUUUGGGAUAACUUCAGGAAACUGGGGCUAAUACCGGAUAGGAGCUCCUGCUGCAUGGUGGGGGUUGGAAAGUUUCGGCGGUUGGGGAUGGACUCGCGGCUUAUCAGCUUGUUGGUGGGGUAGUGGCUUACCAAGGCUUUGACGGGUAGCCGGCCUGAGAGGGUGACCGGCCACAUUGGGACUGAGAUACGGCCCAGACUCCUACGGGAGGCAGCAGUGGGGAAUAUUCCACAAUGGGCGGAAGCCUGAUGCAGCAACGCCGCGUGCGGGAUGACGGCCUUCGGGUUGUAAACCGCUUUCGCCUGUGACGAAGCGUGAGUGACGGUAAUGGGUAAAGAAGCACCGGCUAACUACGUG
rnacentral:rRNA from 1 species